GAUGAAGAACGUAGCGAAUUGCGAUAAGUAAUGUGAAUUGCAGAUUUUCAGUGAAUCAUCGAAUCUUUGAACGCACAUUGCGCCCCUUGGUAUUCCGGGGGGCAUGCCUGUUCGAGCGUCAUUUCAACCCUCAAGCCCAGCUUGGUAUUGGGCCUCCGCCGGGCGACCGGCGGGCCUUAAAAUCAGUGGCGGCGCCGCUGGGUCCUGAACGUAGUAACAUACCUCUCGUUACAGGGUCCCCGCGCGCGCCCGCCGUUAAACCCCCCCUUUCUAUGGUUGACCUCGGAUCAGGUAGGGAUACCCGCUGAACUUAAGCAUAUCAAUAAGCGGAGGA
rnacentral:misc_RNA from 1 species